CACUCUUUACAAUGGGGGUAAAAGCCACCUAUAUGAUGUAGAGCAAAAAUAUAUACCUGUUUAAGUAGCUCUCCAACCUCAUUACCAUCAAAAGCCAAAGGAGGAUCAAUUGGAACCAUUGUCAUCAAUUUAUUUCAAUCCCACGAGCCAACAGAGCUAACAUCUUUACAUUAUAAUUGAAUAUUCGAAAUAUUAACAA
rnacentral:lncRNA from 1 species